GCAGAAGAUCAGAAGACAGGAAGAGAGCUGGAACACUAGCCAUCAUCCAUUGACUGCCUGAUAUGACCCCAAACCCUAUCCUAGGCCUUGGUGGCCUGAAGAGCCUGACGACAGAUUGGUGUAGAAAAGGUACGUCAGCAGUCCUGUGUGCUGAGGAUUGGAACAUCACAAACGCUCGGGCAGCCAGGGAGACAGGAAGGAAGGAAGGCCGACAGGAAGUCAAAGCCGGUGAAAACUGAAAGUGAGCCGUUCCCAGGUGAGCAGGACCAGAUCCGUAGCAGUGACCAGCGGGAGCACGGUCUGGGAGCCAGAUAGCCACGCGUGGGCCUCUUCACAGGAGCAUUUCCAGGAUGUAUCUGAGGGUGCUGACCGCCCUCCUCCACUUAGUUAAAACUUUUCUGGGUAGAAACGCAUUGCAUUAAUCCUCAUUUUGUUCAGAUGAGAAAACAAGUAACAACAUUGGUUUUUUGAAGAGUU